rnacentral:rRNA from 1 species
AACGCUAGCUACAGGCUUAACACAUGCAAGUCGAGGGGCAGCAUGAACUUAGCUUGCUAAGUUUGAUGGCGACCGGCGCACGGGUGAGUAACGCGUAUCCAACCUUCCGUUUACUCAGGGAUAGCCUUUCGAAAGAAAGAUUAAUACCUGAUGGUAUGGUAAGAUUGCAUGAUAAUACCAUUAAAGAUUUAUCGGUAAACGAUGGGGAUGCGUUCCAUUAGGUAGUAGGCGGGGUAACGGCCCACCUAGCCGACGAUGGAUAGGGGUUCUGAGAGGAAGGUCCCCCACAUUGGAACUGAGACACGGUCCAAACUCCUACGGGAGGCAGCAGUGAGGAAUAUUGGUCAAUGGGCGAGAGCCUGAACCAGCCAAGUAGCGUGAAGGAUGAAGGUUCUAUGGAUUGUAAACUUCUUUUAUAAGGGAAUAACAGACGCUACGUGUAGCGUUUUGCAUGUACCUUAUGAAUAAGCAUCGGCUAACUCCGUGCCAGCAGCCGCGGUAAUACGGAGGAUGCGAGCGUUAUCCGGAUUUAUUGGGUUUAAAGGGAGCGUAGAUGGGCUGUUAAGUCAGCUGUGAAAGUUUGGGGCUCAACCUUAAAAUUGCAGUUGAUACUGGCGUCCUUGAGUGCGGUUGAGGUGUGCGGAAUUCGUGGUGUAGCGGUGAAAUGCUUAGAUAUCACGAAGAACUCCGAUUG